rnacentral:rRNA from 1 species
GUUACGCUAAUACCGCAUAUUCUGUGCGCAGGAAAGCAGGGGAUCGCAAGACCUUGCGCUGAUUGAGCGGCCGAUAUCAGAUUAGCUAGUUGGUGAGGUAAAAGCUCACCAAGGCGACGAUCUGUAGCGGGUCUGAGAGGAUGAUCCGCCACACUGGAACUGAGACACGGUCCAGACUCCUACGGGAGGCAGCAGUGGGGAAUUUUGGACAAUGGGGGCAACCCUGAUCCAGCCAUGCCGCGUGAGUGAAGAAGGCCUUCGGGUUGUAAAGCUCUUUCAGCCGGGAAGAAAAUGCAUGGGUUAAUACCCUGUGCAGAUGACGGUACCGGAAUAAGAAGCACCGGCUAACUACGUGCCAGCAGCCGCGGUAAUACGUAGGGUGCGAGCGUUAAUCGGAAUUACUGGGCGUAAAGCGUGCGCAGGCGGUUUUGUAAGACAGGCGUGAAAUCCCCGGGCUUAACCUGGGAACUGCGUUUGUGACUGCAAGGCUAGAGUACGGCAGAGGGGGGUGGAAUUCCACGUGUAGCAGUGAAAUGCGUAGAGAUGUGGAGGAACACCAAUGGCGAAGGCAGCCCCCUGGGUCGAUACUGACGCUCAUGCACGAAAGCGUGGGUAGCAAACAGGAUUAGAUACCCUGGUAGUCCACGCCCUAAACGAUGUCAACUAGGUGUUGGGAGGGUAAAACCUUUUAGUACCGUAGCUAACGCGAGAAGUUGACCGCCUGGGGAGUACGGCCGCAAGGUUAAAACUCAAAGGAAUUGACGGGGACCCGCACAAGCGGUGGAUGAUGUGGAUUAAUUCGAUGCAACGCGAAAAACCUUACCUACCCUUGACAUGUCAGGAACUUUCCAGAGAUGGAUUGGUGCUCGAAAGAGAACCUGAACACAGGUGCUGCAUGGCUGUCGUCAGCUCGUGUCGUGAGAUGUUGGGUUAAGUCCCGCAACGAGCGCAACCCUUGUCGUUAAUUGCCAUCAUUCAGUUGGGCACUUUAACGAGACUGCCGGUGACAAACCGGAGGAAGGUGGGGAUGACGUCAAGUCCUCAUGGCCCUUAUGGGUAGGGCUUCACACGUCAUACAAUGGUCGGUACAAAGGGUCGCCAACCCGCGAGGGGGAGCCAAUCCCAUAAAGCCGAUCGUAGUCCGGAUUGUAGGCUGCAACUCGCCUGCAUGAAGUCGGAAUCGCUAGUAAUCGUGGAUCAGCAUGUCACGGUGAAUACGUUCCCGGGUCUUGUACACACCGCCCGUCACACCAUGGGAGCGGGUUCCGCCAGAAGUAGGUAGCCUAACCGCAAGGAGGGCGCUUACCACGGCGGGGUUCGUGACUGGGGUGAAGUCGUAACAAGGUA